rnacentral:lncRNA from 1 species
AUGGCGCCAGCAAGGCACGGGGUGGCCAUGUCCUGCUCUGUGGGGUGGCUGUGGGGUGCCCAGCCCCAGGCCUGGUGUGGUGUCACUCCCCUGCGGUCCCAGGCCCUGGGGAUGCUGCGGUGUCACUCCCCUGCGGUGCCAGGCCCUGGGGAUGCUGUGGUGUCGCUCCCCUGCGGUGCCAGGCCCUGGGGAUGCUGUGGUGUCGCUCCCCUGCGGUGCCAGGCCCUGGGGAUGCUGUGGUGUCGCUCCCCUGCGGUGCCAGGCCCUGGGGAUGCUGUGGUGUCGCUCCCCUGCGGUGCCAGGCCCUGGGGAUGCUGUGGUGUCGCUCCCCUGCGGUGCCAGGCCCUGGGGAUGCUGUGGUGUCGCUCCCCUGCGGUGCCAGGCCCUGGGGAUGCUGUGGUGUCGCUCCCCUGCGGUGCCAGGCCCUGGGGAUGCUGUGGUGUCGCUCCCCUGCGGUGCCAGGCCCUGGGGAUGCUGUGGUGUCGCUCCCCUGCGGUGCCAGGCCCUGGGGAUGCUGUGGUGUCGCUCCCCUGCGGUGCCAGGCCCUGGGGAUGCUGUGGUGUCGCUCCCCUGCGGUGCCAGGCCCUGGGGAUGCUGUGGUGUCGCUCCCCUGCGGUGCCAGGCCCUGGGGAUGCUGUGGUGUCGCUCCCCUGCGGUGCCAGGCCCUGGGGAUGCUGUGGUGUCGCUCCCCUGCGGUGCCAGGCCCUGGGGAUGCUGUGGUGUCGCUCCCCUGCGGUGCCAGGCCCUGGGGAUGCUGUGGUGUCGCUCCCCUGCGGUGCCAGGCCCUGGGGAUGCUGUGGUGUCGCUCCCCUGCGGUGCCAGGCCCUGGGGAUGCUGUGGUGUCGCUCCCCUGCGGUGCCAGGCCCUGGGGAUGCUGUGGUGUCACUCCCCUGCGGUGCCAGGCCGGCUGCCCCUGUGCUCUGUGGGGGAUUCCCCCCAGCCCUGCCCGUGAGGUGCCCCAGCCUCACGCGGUUCCAGCCCGGCAGCCUGAGCUGUGCCUGCCGGCUGCAGCAGCAGUGGCUGCUGCUCUCAGGGACUGCCAGCCUUCCUCUGGCUCCAGGGAGGGGGAGUGCACAGGUGGCGAAUGUCCCAAGAGGGAAUGCAAAGAACAAGUCACUUGUGACAGCCCCUCACUCGCUGCUGAAAAUUGAGUUGCUUAAUGAGUGUUACUCUGCUAAGGGUUUUUUUCUGCCUCAUUUCUUGGGACCAUUUGAGGAUAAUCAUUGA